rnacentral:rRNA from 1 species
UACGUAGGCGGCCCAUUAAGUCAGACGUGAAAGCCCGGAGCUCAACUCCGGGAUUGCAUUUGAAACUGGUGGGCUAGAGUACAGGAGAGGAAAGUGGAAUUCCUAGUGUAGCGGUGAAAUGCGUAGAUAUUAGGAAGAACACCAGUGGCGAAGGCGGCUUUCUGGACUGUAACUGACGCUGAGGUACGAAAGCGUGGGGAGCGAACA